GAGAGCCGUGUACAUGGAGACAUGUAAGCACGGUUCGGGGGCAGGCUCUUGAAAACCUACCGUCGAAAGACGGCAAGGCAUUGAGUGCCGAGCCUAC
rnacentral:ncRNA from 1 species